rnacentral:rRNA from 1 species
GACGAACGCUGGCGGCGUGCCUAACACAUGCAAGUGGAGCGACGAACCGGGGCUUGCCCCGGGGCCUAGCCGCGAACGGGUGAGUAACACGUGGGUGACCUUCCCCCAUGACUGGGACAACCCGUCGAAAGACGGGCUCAUACCCGAUGUACCCCUUGGUGGAACGGAAUCUUCGGCCUCCACAUCCGGCUGGUCCCGCUGCGCAUUAGCUUGUUGGUGGGGUAAUGGCUUACCAAGGCGACGAUGCGUAGCUUGUCUGAGAGGACGAUCAGCCACACUGGGACUGAGACAGGGCCCAGACUCCUAAGGGAGGCAGCAGUGGGGAAUGUUGAACAAUGCGCGAAAGCGUGAUGCAGCAACGCCGCGUGCGAGAAGAAGGCCUUAGGGUUGUAAACCGCUUUCAGUUGGGACGAGGCGUCGAUGGUGAAUAGCGGGCGGGAGUGACGGUACCGGCAGAAGAAGCGCCGGCUAACUACGUG